AUUGAACGCUGGCGGCAUGCUUUACACAUGCAAGUCGAACGGUAACAGGUCUUCGGAUGCUGACGAGUGGCGAACGGGUGAGUAAUACAUCGGAACGUGCCUAGUAGUGGGGGAUAACUACUCGAAAGAGUAGCUAAUACCGCAUGAGAUCUACGGAUGAAAGCAGGGGACCUUCGGGCCUUGUGCUACUAGAGCGGCUGAUGGCAGAUUAGGUAGUUGGUGGGGUAAAGGCUUACCAAGCCUGCGAUCUGUAGCUGGUCUGAGAGGACGACCAGCCACACUGGGACUGAGACACGGCCCAGACUCCUACGGGAGGCAGCAGUGGGGAAUUUUGGACAAAGGGCGAAAGCCUGAUCCAGCAAUGCCGCGUGCAGGAUGAAGGCCCUCGGGUUGUAAACUGCUUUUGUACGGAACGAAAAGCCUGGGGCUAAUAUCCCCGGGUCAUGACGGUACCGUAAGAAUAAGCACCGGCUAACUACGUG
rnacentral:rRNA from 1 species